GAUCCAAAAACAUGUAACGACCAUCAAAACAGCUUGAGAGCUACAAAGCAGAAACCAGUAAAAGAUUCAACAACUAAAAAUAUUCAAAAGCUAAAAAAUUUAGUUACCUGCUCUCAUCCUUUUAGAAGAGUAAUUUUUCAUAGAGAGAAGUCAAUAUACAGAGGUAUAUCUUCAAGGCUUCAAGCACCAGUCAGAAACCAAUUUACAUGUCCAAGAGGAACAUUUUUAUCAAUUAGAUUCACACAAAAAGAAACAGAGAACAAAAACGAAGAGAAGAAAAUAUAAGAUAACAUCGUAGUUAUAAAGCAAUCAGUUGAACUAUCAGUUAAUACACAGAAUGAAAAAUCUUUCGCAGUCAUACAAAGAAGAAAAGAGAAAAAAAUAAAAUAAAGCUUUGAUCUUUUUUCAGCAGUCAGUAGCGGAGGUGACUACCAUUAGUUGUUUCUAUUUUGAUCUGAGUAAUAAAGUAUAGUGAAAUCAUGAGUUACCUGCUCGUUGGAGUCUGAGAUGAGCGUGGGAAGAUCUCCAGUUGAGACGACCUCUUCCUUUUUUUAUCAUUGAACAUAGCAGCUCGGCGGAGGAGUCAACGGAUUUGCCGUUUGGUUUCUUCGACUUAGGAUCGCCGGAGACAACGUCUUUUCCGUUUGGUUUAUUCGCGGUAAGAUCGUUUUGGAAUUUUCUGCUAGAAUUCAUCGUUUGAGUGUUUUUUUUUUCUGUAACAAUUCUGUGAAAAGAAGAGACUUAUAAAGAGAGGUAGAGAGGAUAAGGCGAAAGGAAUCCAUUAAUGUGAAACUCAGAGGAUUCAUUGCUCACUAAUGAAUAUGGUGUCGAUUGAAACGGCGAAGGGAGGAGUUGUCGAAGAGAUUCAUUUAGGGUUUUCAAAGAGCGAAGAGAAGAGAGACGUCAAAGAUUCACGACAUUAUCCGACUUUAUCGGACCAGGGCUUUUGAUCAACAUGUUUCUUCGUUUUUCACGAUUAAAAAAAAGUACAGCCCAAGACCGGUCCAAUUCGGUUUGACGUGGAAAAACUAAGCAACCUCAUUGGUUGAUUUUAAUGGUCGACGUGGACACCCUCUUUACUCUUCAUAUUCGACUUUUAGUAGUGUUAGAUUUUGAUCCUUUCAUGUAAUAUACAAUAUGAUUUUUUAUUGCAUUACUAAAAACCGAUUGAUAGUUGUAAAUACUUAUAUGAAUCGUGAUUACAUUACUAAAAUUAUGGUGUACGCUGAUGGUUAUUAACAAUAUCCUUGAUAACUACGAAAUGUUGUCUUUCCCAAAUAUGGUGUGGCAUAAUAUUAGUAUAUUUUUUGAUGUAUAUACUGCAUUAUUUUACAAAUCCGUAGUAUAAUAUUAGUGGAUUCUUUGAUGUGUAUGUUAUAUUAUUUUAUAUAAGUUAGCAUACAUUAAGUUUAUUUGUCUUAGCUAUUAUAUCAUGGCUAUAUAACAAAUUUCGAAGGCUAAGUCAAAAAUCCCUAUUUUAUAAUAUAUUGUUAUUAAUCAUGUUCUCGAGUGAUUGCAAAAUACAUUAAAAACGAAUUCCAUAUUAAAUUGCUUGCAAUCCCUUAACUUUUGCAGCAAGACUUUUUUUUAUUACAAAAUUAACAUAAAUGCUGACAGACAUUAAUUUGGAAAUUUAUAUAAUUCUUUCCGGUUAAGUUUAAAGUCAAAUAUCAUAUUCUUUACGAUUCAUAAAUGAUACAUGACAUUUUUUAGGGACACGAUUCAUAAUUAUGUUCUUCUAUAAACUUUGGUAUGUUACAUUAAUUUUGAUUAAUUUGUUUUGUAUUUUAUGGGAUACGUGACAUUUACUUUGGGAUUGAUCAAUAGAGACUCGAUUAUAUUGUAAAUCAAAAGAUCAUAUAUAAAAAAAUUUAACGCAAUCUCGAAUGAUUGUAAAAUACAUUCAAAAAGGAAUGACAUAUUAAAUUUCUUUCAAUCCUUUAACUUUUGCAACAGGAUUUUUUUAUUACGAAGUUAACAUAAAUAGUGAUAGACAUUAAAUACGGAAAUUUAUAUAAUUCUUUUCGGUUAAGGUUAAAGUCAAAUAUCAUUUUUAAUAUGGACUUCUUUUAUUUUGGCUCUUUGCAUAUAAUACUUUCUAUAAUUGUAUGAAAAUGUACGAAAAAUUAGGGAUUUGGAACAUUCCUUUGUGGCAAUGGGAUAUUCAUUUUUUUCAAAUUUCUCGGGUCAAAACUUUAUUAGUUGUGUAUAUAUAUAUCAUACUAUCCUAAUAUCUACGGUAUUGCAACCUAAACGUUUCAAAACUAGCAAAGAAAAUGAGUGGCAUAAAUUUCAUCUUUGAAUUGAAGCCAAAGAAGUCUUUGUGGAAGAUUAGGAUGAAAGUCAUAAAACUUUGGAAGCAGUAUUUGGUUGCUGGUGGAGAGAGCAUUGAAAUGGUUUUCUUGUGCUGUAUAUUCUUUAAAUCUUAAAAAAUAUCAAAUGUUACUUCUGCUAAUCUAUAUAGAGGUGUUUAAUUUGGAUGUCGGUUUGGUUUCUUCGGUUUUUCAGUAUUUCAAUUUAUAAAAAAUAUCUAUCAUAUUAAGACUAUAUCUAUUUUGGUUUGAUUCAGUUUAUAUACAGUCAUUCCCGAUUUAUUUGAUUUUAUACCAAAAUACCAUAAAUAUAAUCGUUUAUUACAUUUUUUGCCUUUAAUAACAGUUUGUUUCAAAAAAAUAUUUAUCUUUUAUACUUUUGUAAAUUUUACUUUUAUAUAACUAGAUAUUAGCUUUAAUAAAACAUGAAGAUACUUUGGUUAUUAAAUAGACUAUUUUUCUUUUACAAUUUAAAAUAAUUAGUAAACAUAUUAAGCUGAUAACAAUAAUAUUUUCUAUAGAAUAGAAAAAUUAGCAAUCUGUAAUAUUAUUAAAUAAAUAUUAGUAUACAUAUAUGUCAGCGAAAAAAAUAAAAUUAUGUUUUUUUAAUUUGAUAAAGAUUAAAUAUAUCUUUUGACUUAAAACAAAAUAUUAAAUUAGUAAAAUAAAAAUUUUAAGUAUGAAGAUCAUAUCAAUAAAUAAAUUAUGUAUAUGUUACUAAUUAUAUUAUAGAAUUUACAUAUAAUUAUACAACAAUAUUUUCAUUUUAUUCGCUUUGAUCAGUAUAAUCGGUUUAUAUACCAAACCAUAUCCAUAGAGCGCGUUUUUAGAAAAUAACAUUCAUCCAUACCAAAUUCAAAACAUUUUUUUAUUUCGGUUUGGUUUUACCGGACUGAACUCCUAAAGCUAAACCAUGUAUAAUAUUUCACUAUUGUUUUUACCUAUUCAAUAUCUAUUGAUUAAAAUUUAUAAUUCUUUUUAGUUUAUUCACUCGGCGCAGCAUCACCAUGUAAACAUUUGUAUUUCAUGAAAAUUUUGUAUAAUAUAUGUCUUCCUAAAUUUUGUAUAAUCCGGUUUGAUUACGGUUCACCUUCGAAUAAGUAGACGUUAAAUGGAAACCAGACAACACGGUCUCGCGAUGUCGUCAUCGUCUUCCUCCUCCUCUAGGUCACGCACCAAAUGUUCAUCCCUCAAUUAUCCGUCUAAGAAGCUCAAUUACAUGAUCUGCUUGUCUCCAUCCCUUGGUCCCUCUCAAUCUCCUCGAACCAUGAAUAUAAAUGGGCGUGCGAAGGCUGCACCUUUCUGAACACCUACAAGAACUCAGUGUGAGGACGCGAUCGCCGUCGUCUUCUCCUCCCCUGAUUUGACCGAUUCGGGUCUCGAAAGCAAAAACAUGAACAAUCGGAUUGCUCUCCCGGGUGGGUUUUCCUUCCUCCGCGGCGGUUAGCAAGCGCAAUGCCAUGUUUGACGACGCCAUCGAGGUUGAUGGUGGUUCGGAGAAGAAGAUCAACGAAAGGUGAGUUCCAUCUGCGAGAUUUGGAAGCGCGAUUUUUGUGUGUUCUUCCCUGAGAUAGAUGAGAUUUUCUUGGAAAUCGAACUGGUGGAAAGAGUAUACUUGUUUUCUCUCAGUAGAUGCGACUCAAUCACCGUGGCUAAUUCUGCAUGCUGACUGGUUUUUCUGUUAGUUUACAAGCUUGGAGAAUCGAGAUGGUUGGGAAAGAGGCGAUUCCUGGUUUAUCCUAUGUGUAAGGGAAGAGGGUGAGGGGCGAUCAAGAAGUUAGAGCUUCCAGUGUUUCCUAGCGAUCAUUUCGCUCUGCUUUUAACUCUCUGCCCAUAUGAGAUUAAACAAUCGGAGCUCUAAGUUCCUUUUUCCCCUCUGGAAACUCGUGGUUGGAAUACUGAUAAGAGGUUUCAUGUUUUUUUUCUUCAUUGUUUUGAACUGAGCGUCUUAUGGCCAACGCCAACACUUGUAAUGAAGAUUAUGAAACUAAUCAGAGUAUCACUAAACACAUGAGAUAUGUUUUAAUAUAGCAGGGUCUGGUUUCAGACAGUUACUAAGUUA